rnacentral:rRNA from 1 species
GAUGAACGCUGGCGGCGUGCCUAAUACAUGCAAGUCGAGCGAACAGACGAGGAGCUUGCUCCUCUGACGUUAGCGGCGGACGGGUGAGUAACACGUGGAUAACCUACCUAUAAGACUGGGAUAACUUCGGGAAACCGGAGCUAAUACCGGAUAAUAUAUUGAACCGCAUGGUUCAAUAGUGAAAGACGGUUUUGCUGUCACUUAUAGAUGGAUCCGCGCCGCAUUAGCUAGUUGGUAAGGUAACGGCUUACCAAGGCAACGAUGCGUAGCCGACCUGAGAGGGUGAUCGGCCACACUGGAACUGAGACACGGUCCAGACUCAGACGGGAGACAGCAGUAGGGAAUCUUCCGCAAUGGGCGAAAGCCUGACGGAGCAACGCCGCGUGAGUGAUGAAGGUCUUCGGAUCGGAGAACUCUGUUAUUAGGGAAGAACAAAUGUGUAAGUAACUAUGCACGUCUUGACGGUACCUAAUCAGAAAGCCACGGCUAACUACGUG